rnacentral:rRNA from 1 species
UCUGCUGGGCCAUUACUGACGCUCAUGGACGAAAGCCAGGGGAGCGAAAGGGAUUAGAUACCCCUGUAGUCCUGGCCGUAAACGAUGAACACUAGGUGUCGGGGGAAUCGACCCCUUCGGUGUCGUAGCUAACGCGUUAAGUGUUCCGCCUGGGGAGUACGCACGCAAGUGUGAAACUCAAAGGAAUUGACGGGGGCCCGCACAAGCGGUGGAGUAUGUGGUUUAAUUCGAUGCAACGCGAAGAACCUUACCAGGGUUUGACAUCCUGCGAACCUCUUAGAAAUUUGAGGGUGCCUUCGGGAAUGCAGUGACAGGUGGUGCGUGGCUGUCGUCAGCUUGUGUCGUGAGAUGUUGGGUUAAGUCCCGCAACGAGCGCAACCCACGUUUUUAGUUGCCAGCAUUUAGUUGGGCACUCUAGAAAGACCGCCGGUGAUAAACCGGAGGAAGGUGUGGAUGACGUCAAGUCAUCAUGCCCCUUACACCCUGGGCUACACACGUACUACAAUGCUACGGACAAAGGGCAGCAAACUCGCGAGAGCUAGCAAAUCCCAUAAACCGUGGCUCAGUUCAGAUCGUAGGCUGCAACUCGCCUACGUGAAGUAGGAAUCGCUAGUAAUCGCAGGUCAGCAUACUGCGGUGAAUACGUUCCCGGGCCUUGUACACACCGCCCGUCACACCAUGGAAGUUGGCCAUGCCCGAAGUCGUUACUCCAACCCUUGUGGAGGAGGACGCCGAAGGUGGGGCUAAUGACUGGGGUGAAGUCGUAACAAGGUAGCC